UCUGAACCUUCGGGGAACGAUAACGGCGUUUUGCGGCGGACGGGUGAGUAAUGCCUAGGAAAUUGCCCUGAUGUGGGGGAUAACCAUUGGAAACGAUGGCUAAUACCGCAUAAUGCCUACGGGCCAAAGAGGGGGACCUUCGGGCCUCUCGCGUCAGGAUAUGCCUAGGUGGGAUUAGCUAGUUGGUGAGGUAAGGGCUCACCAAGGCGACCCCCCCUAGCUGGUCUGAGAGGAUGAUCAGCCACACUGGAACUGAGACACGGUCCAGACUCCUACGGGAGGCAGCAGUGGGGAAUAUUGCACAAUGGGCGCAAGCCUGAUGCAGCCAAAACGCGUGUGUGAAGAAGGCCUUCGGGUUGUAAAGCACUUUCAGUCGUGAGGAAGGUAGUGUAGUUAAUAGCUGCAUUAUUUGACGUUAGCGACAGAAGAAGCACCGGCUAACUCCGUGCCAGCAGCCGCGGUAAUACGGAGGGUGCGAGCGUUAAUCGGAAUUACUGGGCGUAAAGCGCAUUUUGGUGGUUUGUUAAGUCAGAUGUGAAAGCCCGGGGCUCAACCUCGGAAUUGCAUU
rnacentral:rRNA from 1 species